ensembl:lncRNA
GAAGAAAGAAGCCAUACAUGUUUGAAACAGGUUUUUGGACAUGAGAGUGAAUAAAUGAUGACAGCAUUUUCAUUUUUGGGUGAAGAGCCAUCCAUCAAUCAUCAAAAACAGCAAAACAUGUUUGCUGUUUAAUAUGAACAAGAUGGCUGGACAUGAACCGGUGACAUAACGUCUCACUGCACUAUAUAUCUCCAGCGUUUCAGUUCAUGAACGCUUGUGGUCGGCCUACAGCGUGUUUGCUGCGUCCUCAUCGUGCAUAAAUCCCAGAGACUGAGACAUUUACUGCCCUUCCUGAUUUAACACACAUUUCAGCAAUGUCAGAAAUGUUUCAAGCAUUACAUCCUGCUAAAUCCAGCAUUUAUUUGACAUAUAAACCAAUCAGAUGUGCUGAUUUACUAAACACUUACUACAUACGUAGCUGUCGCGAUGAAACCGUGAUUGCUUGUGAUGUGGCACAUGCCAGAAAGUAUAUAUUUCAGUACAGUUUUGAAGUGGAUCUAGUCUAGACCGUCUGUAACUCUGUUCGUUUGUAUCUUCCAGAGGAUGGGUGGAGUAACUUUCUGCCUUUUUCCAUUUUCUUGUCCAAAACUCUGUCUCUGGCUGUAACUGGACUGCUUGACCACAGACUCAUCAGUGCCCUUGGAUGCAUGAACUGCUGAUUUGGAGAAACAUGCACAACUUAAUAGUGUGCAUAAUUAUACAUUACAUCUUUUUCUGAGUGAAAAAAAUCAUGCAUACAGGUUUGGAGCAACACAAGGGUAAGUAAAACGGUGUUUUCCUGUUUUUGGUUGAAAUGUUACUUUAAUGCUGCUGAAACACAAAGCUAAAUGUCAGUAUUGCUCAUUUCAAUGCUUUUUACGGUUUUUAUUCGUCCUUUUUGCAGCUUUCAUGCAUAUUCAAAAAAAUUAAAUUUUAUUUGAAAAAGGAGUUCGGAUAUACUGCAAAACAUCUCCUUUUGCGAAAGAGAGAAAACGGUAAUGCAUGCAAGUUUGAAUGAACAAAAUGCUUGAUAGUGUGCAUAAUCAUCAACUUUCAUUGUAUAGAAAAGAGGAGUUCAAAUAUUCUGCAAAACAGAAUGUUUGAAGUCAUGCAUGCAGGUUUGGAACUACACAAGGGGCCCUGAGUCCAAAGGAAAAAUUGUGCUGAGCGAUUGAGUCUCAACGCUGCUGGACCUCUCCAAGCUUCUGUGAUGCAGAACCCAAUCUGAGAGCUUUGGUUUGAACCAUAAAUCCAACCAUAUAUGCAAUCCUCUUGCCAAGAUGAGCUUCAGAUAAUGCAGUGGAUCCGUCCGCACGGCAUACAUUCCCUUAGCUGCUGUGUCUUUUGGACGAGACAAGACCAGUGGCUUUGUGAAGCAGAUUAUAUAGAGACGCUUCUCUCCCUCCCGUCUGGCCGCAGAGCCGCUGGGUGCGUGAGUGAGUCGUCUUAAGGAGUCUUGCAGUAGAUCAGUUGCUCACACACUGUGUGUUCCAGAGCAAAGCCUCACACCUGCCUUGCCAAACGCUGUUGUCCCUCAAUCAUAUACAUUAACUUUGGCUGCUUUACAUUUAUUCUUGCAUUUUUGCAUUUCUACUGCAAUGUCCAGUUAAUUUUGCACAACAUCUUUUGCAUAAAUUUAAUGAUGUCUACUUAUUUUUAAUGACAGUUAAGUAGAAUAUACUCAAAAUUCAUUACUGUAAUGCAUCCACAUGUUUUU